rnacentral:rRNA from 1 species
UACGAAGGUGGGCAAGCGUUGUUCGGAUUUACUGGGCGUACAGGGAGGCGUAGGCGGUUGGAUAAGCCCUCCGUGAAAAUCUCCAGGCUUAACCUGGAAAGUGCAGAGGGGACUGUUCAGCUAGAGGAUGGGAGAGGAGCGCGGAAUUCCCGGUGUAGCGGUGAAAUGCGUAGAGAUCGGGAGGAAGGCCGGUGGCGAAGGCGGCCCACUGGUCCGGUACUGACGCUGAGGUGCGAAAGCGUGGGGAGCAAACAGG